CCAGGAAAGGCACUUUCUGAGGGCGUCCCCAGAUUCCAGCUUUGUCCUUGAUGCGCUUACGCCGCUAUGAGCGCAUGAUCAUACAGAACUAGAGCCGCAGAUUUUUAGCUGGUUAUAUUACAGCUAACAGAAAAACCACCUUUCCAAGUCUCCUUUGCAGCUGGAUGCCCAAGUCUAUAAAUUCUUGCCAAUGAGAUAUAAACAAGAAUGACGUGCAAGUUCAGGGAGGGACUUCUACAAGGAACGUAUUAAAAACUGCAUGUCAGAUAAUCGGGCGUUUUGCAAUGAGAUGAUUGAACUGCUCUGUGCAAUCCUCCUGAUGAUCACAAAAAUA